rnacentral:rRNA from 1 species
UACAGAGGGUGCAAGCGUUAAUCGGAAUUACUGGGCGUAAAGCGCGCGCAGGCGGUUACGUAAGUUGGAGGUGAAAUCCCCGAGCUCAACUUGGGAAUUGCCUUCAGAACUGCGUGGCUAGAGUGUGGGAGAGGAAGGUAGAAUUCCAGGUGUAGCGGUGAAAUGCGUAGAUAUCUGGAGGAAUACCGAUGGCGAAGGCAGCCUUCUGGCCUAACACUGACGCUGAGGUGCGAAAGCAUGGGGAGCAAACAGGAUUAGAUACCCUGGUAGUCCAUGCCGUAAACGAUGUCUACUAGCCGUUGGGGGACUUGAUCCUUUAGUGGCGCAGCUAACGCAUUAAGUAGACCGCCUGGGGAGUACGGUCGCAAGACUAAAACUCAAAUGAAUUGACGGGGGCCCGCACAAGCGGUGGAGCAUGUGGUUUAAUUCGAUGCAACGCGAAGAACCUUACCUGGCCUUGACAUGUCUGGAAUCCUGUAGAGAUACGGGAGUGCCUUCGGGAAUCAGAACACAGGUGCUGCAUGGCUGUCGUCAGCUCGUGUCGUGAGAUGUUGGGUUAAGUCCCGCAACGAGCGCAACCCUUGUCCUUAGUUGCCAGCACGUAAUGGUGGGAACUCUAGGGAGACUGCCGGUGACAAACCGGAGGAAGGCGGGGACGACGUCAAGUCAUCAUGGCCCUUACGGCCAGGGCUACACACGUGCUACAAUGGUCGGUACAAAGGGUUGCCAACUCGCGAGAGUGCGCUAAUCUCAAAAAGCCGAUCGUAGUCCGGAUUGGAGUCUGCAACUCGACUCCAUGAAGUCGGAAUCGCUAGUAAUCGCGGAUCAGAAUGCCGCGGUGAAUACGUUCCCGGGCCU